rnacentral:lncRNA from 1 species
UAUAUUAAUUCUGGGAUCUACCAACAAGGUAAGAAUGAAACAUCCAAUGUUAAUAUCGAGCAACUAGCCAUCUAAUUUUCUGGUUACCUAAUAUUAUUGUCUUCUUGAACAUUUAAUUAAGCCUAGAAGUACCAUAACCACAAAAUCAACUUCGCAGCGGAAGUAAAACUAACCUUAAAGAUUUUCCUGGACAUACAACAAAUAAACUAACAUAGAAAUUUAUUUCCACUGAUAUACAGAUUUUAACAAAUAAACCAACACAGCAGUUCAUCUCCACUGAUACACAUCAUUUAUAUAAAUAACCAAAUACAAAAGUUUUCAAAUAAUACACCAGAAAUAAAAGUAGAGCUUCACAUCAGACUUCUAGGGUUUAGCUUUUACUUGCUCUCCUCUGAAAAAUGAAAUUGACAAAGGGCGAGUUGUUAUACUCAAUAAGUAGAAACAUGCACAACAAACAGAACAAUAUUUAUGUUCAAUAUUUUCAAACAUUUAGUUUAGCCUUAAGUUAAGAACAAACACACGAACCUUUGUAUAGAAGCUUGUUAAGCAUUGUUUUGCUUAAAACAAAUUCAAAUUGAAUAGUUCAAACUAAAUUCAAAUUCAGAAAACAUGUAUCAUGUAAAAACACAUUCAAAAACAUAUAACAAGUCAAAACAAAUUGGAACAUAUAUAAUGUCAUGACUUAUCAUAUAGGACGCUUAUGUCAAAUCCUAUCACCUAUACCCACUGUGACUCGGUAUAAAUCAAAUUGUAUAAUUUGUGCAACAGAACAAAAUUUUACUAGUGAAAGUCACCUAUUUCUCCCGAUGACUCGGCCAUAAUAGAACAUAUUAUAUAAGAAAAUAGCUAUCGACAUUGAGCCAAAACAUUUAAAUUAUAUUCAUAUAAAUACAAAUUGGAAUCUCACAUAGUGACCCAUACGUGGCACUUUGCGGCACAUUGGCUAUUGAGAGGUGGCCCCUCUACAGCUCACACUUUUGAAAUGCAAGCUUUUAAUUCAAACUUGUCUAAACUUGAGCAAAGAUUAUUUAACCAUAAAACAUAAUUUGAAGAACAUUUGGAAAACAGAAGAGUUCAUUAUGGAUGGGUAUACUUGAAUCCAAAGCAAAUAUUAACCUUUCACUUACUAAUAAAAAACAUCACCAACACAUCCUAAAAUUGAAACAUAUACUGAUUUAUUAUUAAAUUCAUAUAUAAUAAAUCAUAACCUUAACUGAAAUCCUUAUCACUAACGAAUUACCAAAAUUUUGCACAAUACCAAAAUAUAAUUCACAUGCUUAUAGACCUUAAACAAUUCUAAUAUUUUCCAGAAUAUUGUCUCCACAUGAUUUUAGAAUUUAUUACUUAAGAGAUUAAAAGAUCUAAUUCUAGGACUGUAGUGAACUCAAUCUCCAAUUCUCAGUUUGCUAGUAUCUGAGCCAAAUUUCAUAAAAUGUUUGAAAGGUAAAAUGAACUUCAAAAUUCACAAACUUGAUAUCAUAUCAAAGUCAAGAUGUCUAGUAUGAUAUUCCAAAUUUUAGAAUUUUUUUCCUUAUAUAUUAAGAGUUAUUAAUUUUCAAAUGCUCAAAGGUUAAUUAUAUAUGUCAGAAUCAUCCUUUAGUAAAUAAAGUGGAUUGUCUCAACAAUUUAGUCAAACCAGAAGGUCACCAAAAAUUAUGAAAAUUUACAGAGAGAUUUGUCCAUAUAUGCAUUUAGCUAUAUCCAAAAUUUAGAAUUUUAUUCCUCAAAUAUUCAGAGUUAUGAGUUUUUAAAUACCCAAAGGUUAGUUCUGUCAGGAUGUUUCUUCAACAAACAAUGCGGUUUCUCUCAGCAAUUCAACAACCCAAAAUGUUACAAAUUUUUUUGACAAUUUACAGGGAGACUUUUCCAUAUGUACUUAACUAUACCCAAAAUUCCGAAUUUUAUCCUUCGUAUAACCAAAGCUAUAAAAUUUCCAUUACUUAAAGGUCAAGAAUGACGGCAACCAGACACAGAUUUUCUUUCAACUUCAUUCAAAUUCUAAGUCCCUUAUGCAAUACCAAAAUCCACGAGAAUUAAACUGAUCGUAGUUUAGCUUCUGAUUAACAAAUUUUUAAAAGUUCAAACCCAAAAUACAUCAAUUACAAAAGAAAUCAAAUCAGCAAACAAACCAUAUAAAAAAAUUCGUAGAUAUCCAAAACUAUUAGAAGAAUUCACUUACCGUAAUCAAUGAAAGUAGAAAAUGCUUAAGCUUCUUAAGGGAAUUUGAAGUAUGAAAGUGAAUGGCAUAUCAUCCAGCAAAAAGAAAAGAAAAGGGGAAAAAAAUAAUUUGAGUUUCAUAUAACAGGAAGUUAAUGAUGGUUACAGAAGUGGGGGAAGUUGAGUACAAAUCAGAUAAUGGGAGGUUACUAAACUUCCUUAAUUAAAUUUUAAUUUCACAAAUAAAAUAAAAAUAACAUAAAUUGAAUAAUAUAAAAGUUACUUUUUAAAACUACAUACAAGUAUACAAAAAUAAAAUAUGUGGGUACUACAAAGAAAUUGUUCAUACAUUGGACUUGAAUUUGGUUACAGCCCGACUCUUCCUUUCAAAGUCAACUUGCUUACUAACCAUCUGCUUGAUUUAUUUAGAGCAAGCAAUCAAGCUUUGAUCUAAUAAUGUGAUAUCAUUUCUUUCACUAUUUGAAAGUAGUUCUGCUCACGCCAUUUCUACCAUCGAUUCCAUCCCAUUUGUAGAUAGUUGGUUCAUAUACUUUUCAUUCAUUGGCUGAGUACUUUAUUCUAUGUUUAUCACUGGGAGAAUCAAGUUGAUGAAGUCAAGCUGCUGAAUAAACACAUAAAUUUGCAUUUUUGUGUAGAGUUGUUAUCCCUUGCUUGAUUAUUAAUUGACGAAGGGAUUAAAAUGUGGUAAAAUGUUUUCACCCCACUGUGUUAAAUAGAAUCCAUCUUUUAUAGUUUUCAAAAGCUACACACCAACAG